ACAAUGGACGAAAGUCUGAUGGAGCAACGCCGCGUGAGUGAAGAAGGGUUUCGGCUCGUAAAACUCUGUUGUUAAAGAAGAACAUAUCUGAGAGUAACUGUUCAGGUAUUGACGGUAUUUAACCAGAAAGCCACGGCUAACUACGUGCCAGCAGCCGCGGUAAUACGUAGGUGGCAAGCGUUGUCCGGAUUUAUUGGGCGUAAAGCGAGCGCAGGCGGUUUUUAAGUCUGAUGUGAAAGCCUUCGGCUCAACCGAAGAAGUGCAUCGGAAACUGGGAAACUUGAGUGCAGAAGAGGACAGUGGAACUCCAUGUGUAGCGGUGAAAUGCGUAGAUAUAUGGAAGAACACCAGUGGCGAAGGCGGCUGUCUGGUCUGUAACUGACGCUGAGGCUCGAAAGUAUGGGUAGCAAACAGGAUUAGAUACCCUGGUAG
rnacentral:rRNA from 1 species